rnacentral:rRNA from 1 species
GCCUCAGUAACGGCGAGUGAAGCGGCAAAAGCUCAAAUUUGAAAUCUAGCACCUUCGGUGUUCGAGUUGUAAUUUGAAGAUGGUAACCUUGGGUUUGGCUCUUGUCUAUGUUCCUUGGAACAGGACGUCAUAGAGGGUGAGAAUCCCGUCUGAUGAGAUGCCCAUUCCUAUGUAAGGUGCUAUCGAAGAGUCGAGUUGUUUGGGAAUGCAGCUCUAAGUGGGUGGUAAAUUCCAUCUAAAGCUAAAUAUUGGCGAGAGACCGAUAGCGAACAAGUACAGUGAUGGAAAGAUGAAAAGAACUUUGAAAAGAGAGUGAAAAAGUACGUGAAAUUGUUGAAAGGGAAGGGCAUUAGAUCAGACUUGGUGUUUUACGAUUAUCUUCUCUUCUUGAGUUGUGCACUCGUAUUUCACUGGGCCAGCAUCGAUUCGGAUGGUAAGAUAAUGACAGUUGAACGUGGCUCCAUUCGUGGAGUGUUAUAGCUUCUGUUGAUAUUGCCUGUCUGGAUCGAGGGCUGCGUCUUUUGACUAGGAUGCUGGCGUAAUGAUCUAAUGCCGCCCGUCUUGAAACACGGACCAAA